GCUUCUGCGCGGAAGGCUCCGUCUAAAUAUUACAUUACCCGUGGCGAGCAGCUCGCACGAAAACCCUGUUUUUUUUACCUCAGUAUGUAGGAAAAACCGCUCCUCGCUCAAACCGUGUAGGAAAGCCCUGGGCUUCCCCGCCGCAGCGCCCUGCUCCGGAUCCCGGCGCAAGGCCAGAGCCCCCGGCGUUCCUUUAUCCGCAUUUCAGACAACCGAAAACCUGCUGUUCUAAAAGAACCCGUCUGUAAAAUCAUGUCCGGACGCAGGCAGCGUUGCCAGAUUCAGCGCCGGAGUUCCCGUUCCAACCCUCACCGUCUCCGCGGUGUCAGCGCUUCGGGGGAGGCAGCCGCCGGCGGCGCGGCAGGAGCUGGAGGGCUGGGACCGCCGCUGGCCCCGGAGACCCUCCGCCGUGGUCGCAGCCUGCUCAGGUGCCGCGCUGCCCGCACGGGCAGCACCGCUCCUCUGUCCGCACAGAGAGCUGCUGCCUGCCAGAGCCACCGCUCCAGGUACGACCAGGGCUUGCUUCCCCGCCGGCGCCGGGCGCGAGCGGGGCACCGGGCAGCGGGCAGGGAAGGGAGUCGACUGGAGCGUCAAAACAGCCAAACAGCCUUUUGGGUGCUGUUCCGGAGGGGUGAAGUGAGGCUCUCCCGCAGCGUUGCUCCUGCCUGCCGGCCGGUGGGUCACCACAGCCUCGCCUUCCAGAUGUAAAAUCACAAUGUAAUAUUAAAUAUAUACAUCUGCACCCCAUUUAGGGAAAACAUCCUUUUUCAUUCAGCUGAUCUGGGUACCUGGGAGUGGGAGGCAGGCGCCUGGACGGCGAGCUCUCCAGGAGCGCGAUCGCUGCUGCUGGACUGUGACCUGCAAUAAGAUGUGUUUGUUCUCCGGUGGCGCAAGUGGCAUUUGCCCUCCGGGCUCUGGCAUAAGGACCAGAACCAGCAGUGUUGUACCAGCGGUAUCCUGACCUAGGUAAAACAGGCACUGCAACACAGACUGGCUGACUAAGAUGAUGAAAACCGCUUCACUUACUGUCCCUACUUCAAAAGCUGGCAGCCCCAGCAGCUCAGAAACACCGGCAAACCAACCUGUUAUGCUCUCCUGGAGCCAAGUGCCUUUCACCACAGCCAGGAGAGCUUUGCUGACUGACCCCGGGUGAGGACCGGUUCCCGUGUGGGUCAGCAGGUAAAGACAAGGAGGCUGAGUUGUCCUCGGGUGCCAAGCUGGGGGAAAAUACGUCACCUUCACGUUGCCUUAAAAGCCAGGUAAAACUCGACCCUGAGUAAUAAAUUUUAUUUGUUGCACCCAAGCAGAAGCCUGCAGUCCAGUGCAGCAAGCGUGUGGUGAUGCUGACUACAAAGCUUUGAACUGGCAAGAUUUUAUAUAUAUAUAUAUAUAUAUAUAUUUUUAUGUAGUAGUCCAUCACCUAUAAUACACAGUGAGUGCAGGGAAUGUACAGGGGAUGUACACUUUACUGACAUCAUCUGCAGUGAGCUGGUUGCUGGUCCCACCAAUGCUGCUUUCGGCAGUGCUUUUCCUGGUUGCCGAUGGGGCGAAAGAGACGGAAGGAAGUCCCGAGGAGUUAACACGCGCUGGAGAGGAGCCUGCGCCCACCCCCCUGGCACAGGUCCUCUCCCCGCGCCCGCGGGCUCUCCCACGUCCCACGGAGGUGGGUCUCCUUAGCUCUGCUGAGGACGUGGCUGGCUGUGCCGUGUUCUCCUCCCGUUGCCCCCACCUGGAGCCAGCCGGCCAGGGGACGGCCUGCCACACGGGGAAGACGAGGAGGUGGGUCGGGCAAAAGAAACCGAGAGGAGGAGCAGCAAAAAGCCAGGGGUGGGUGGUUAACAGCUGGCCUCGCGACGCCGCACGCCUACGGGGUGCAAGAACACGGCCAAAUGCACGUUAUCCAAGAGUUUUAACACAAUUUAUUUUAUGCUUAAAUAAUCAACUAGAUCAUCCAGUGUUUGUUGUUUUCAUACAUAUGUAAUUAGAGCUAUUAUCAAUGGAUGCUGUUUCCAUAUGAAUAUAAUCAACAAAUUAAAGUAUUUCACCAAAACCCAAAUAAAAAUGCCCUUUAAAACACAGCAGCCUUAACAACCUAAUAUUACACUGCUAGGAUGAUUACAGAUGAUUGGCUUACUGAAAGAUUCUACAUCUUAUAGCCAGUACACAAUACAGUAAUAAUUUUACAGCGUGCUGCCAGUCUAUUAGCUAAUAAUUUCUCUUCAGUUCAUUUAAAAACAUCCCAAACUUGUGCUCCUGAGAGCACCAACCCACUUCUAAAGCUGCAAGCAUUACCCCCGUUAUAAAGCGAGAACAGAUAGCACCCCCCUCCCCGUAAUGCAACUACUGUAUAUGUUAUGGGUUUUAGGUCAUUUCAUUGAAAAUUGGCAA